rnacentral:rRNA from 1 species
AUCCUGGCUCAGGAUGAACGCUAGCGGCAGGCUUAACACAUGCAAGUCGAGGGGUAUAUUUCUUCGGAGAUAGAGACCGGCGCACGGGUGCGUAACGCGUAUGCAAUCUACCUUUUACAGAGGGAUAGCCCAGAGAAAUUUGGAUUAAUACCUCAUAGCAUUGCAGGAUGGCAUCAUUCAGCAAUUAAAGUCACAACGGUAAAAGAUGAGCAUGCGUCCCAUUAGCUAGUUGGUAAGGUAACGGCUUACCAAGGCUACGAUGGGUAGGGGUCCUGAGAGGGAGAUCCCCCACACUGGUACUGAGACACGGACCAGACUCCUACGGGAGGCAGCAGUGAGGAAUAUUGGACAAUGGGCGCAAGCCUGAUCCAGCCAUGCCGCGUGCAGGAUGACGGUCCUAUGGAUUGUAAACUGCUUUUAUACGAGAAGAAACACUACUUCGUGAAGUAGCUUGACGGUAUCGUAAGAAUAAGGAUCGGC